UUCAAUAAGGAAGGAAAAAACCUUGCUGGGAUGGGAAGGCUUCCUUGGGGUAGAAAGCCAUUGGGCUCAGAAAUGAAAGAGAUGGGAAAUGUUCUCUGGGUUUGAAAGCAUUGGGAAGCAAAAGCAUUGGGAUGGGCAAUCGCUCCUGGGAUGGGAAAGUACUGGGACGGGAAAUCUUGAAUGGGGUGGGUAACAUUUAUUGAAGUAGGAAAACCAUGAGAAAGUCAUCCAAGAGAGGGGAAUUCUUUGGGACGAGAUCUCUUUGGAUGAACAAACGCUUUGUGUUGAUGGGAAAUCUUUUGUAUGGGAAUCUGUUAUCAUGUGAACUUGUCAGGAUGGGAAAUGACCAUGAGGAUGAAAGCUGGUACUGGGGUGGGAAAUGCUUAGGACGGGGAAGAGGCGGUGUGGAAGCGUCGUGGGCAUGGCAAGUGCUGCGUGGGAGGGCAAGCCUGCUGGGGAUGGCCAAGUCUUGUGCUGGGCAGCCUGCUUGGGUCCAAAGCCUGCAGUCCUCCCCAAGAUGUUGUCGAGGGGCUGGUCAGCCGUUGGGACGGAACCCCCGUUGCCCGGGUUCCCCAAGCAACCGCCCCACUCUCCAGCCACCAUGGCAGGUCCAGCAGCCGGCUCCCGCUCCUCCCAGGGCUGCGGCCGUGCUGGCGAGCCCAGUGCCCCAGAGCUCAGCCCAGCGCCCUUUUUCCCACAGAGGGUUUCCCCAGACGGCUUCUGCGGGUUGCGCAGACGCAAAACUCCUCCUUCGUCGUCGCAGCCGUGCCGUCAACGGUGGCUGCCUGGCUGCUGCCCUCCCUCCCCGGAGCGACGGCGGUGCCCUUGCAGCCCCCGCAUGCACCUGCCUGUUGCAGGCCCCCGCCCAGCGCAACCCCCCGCCACCCCUCGUCCCGGGACCUCCGCUGCAGAGGCAGGUGCUCCCCAUGCCCCGCACCCUGAGCAGCAGCCUUGGGCAGCUGCCAGAGCCCUGCUUGCACGCCGUAAGGCUCAGCGAGGACCAGGGGCCCCCGCUGCCCGGCCCCACUCCCCCUGAGCCUGCCCAGGCUCCAAGGACUGCCAGCACCCAGACGGCGACACCCGACGCGGUGACAGCCCCGCAGGUGCCUGAGGAGCCCCCGCAGCUGCCCGAGCUGGGCCCUGAUGCCUUGGCCGAGGCCUUUCCAGAGCUGGCAGGGGACAGCCAGCAGCUGCAGCACAUGCAGGACGAGCUCCUGGCCGACCUGGACAUCCCCAUCCCCGGCAUGGAGGAGCUGCUCAGCUGGCUCGAUGCCGUGGAGCCCCAGGACGCCUUCGCCGAUUUGCCCAGCAGUCCUGCCCUCAGCCGCUUCCACUCCCAGCUGCCUGACCUCUGCGAGGACAUUGAGCAGCCGAGCACGCAGGGACUGGAAGCCACAGGAGCCCUCGGUGAGGUCCCCUCAACCCCUGGGGUGCGCCCCGAGAAGCUUGAGGGUGGGCUGUCGCUGCAGUCCCCCUUCAUGACAGCAGUGAGCCCCCCGCUCAGCCCUGCAGCCAGUCCCCUGUUCAGUGCGCUUAGGAGCCCCCUACCCAGUCCACCCCUGAGUCCCCCCAGGAGCCUCCCUGACACCCAGGUCCUCAGUGCCCUUAGUAGACCCCUGCCCCAACCCCCCCAGCAUUCUCUCAAGACCUGCCCCAACACCAAGGUCCCCAGUGCCCUUAGUAGACCCCAGCCCAAAUCCCCCCCGAGCUCCCCCAAGAAACGCCCAAACCCCAAGGGCCGCAGUGACCAUAGGAGACCCCUGCCCAAAUGCCCCCUGGGUCCCCUCAAGAGCCCCCUGGCUGCCCCUGCGUCCACCGGCACCAAGCGGGGGGCCAAGCGCCCUGCACCCAGCAGCACCCCUGGGACAGCGCAGAGCUGCCAGCACAGGAGGCCGACGAUAGAGAACCCCCCCGGCAAGGAGAGGAAGAUGCUGCUGGGCCAGGCUGGCCAAGGCCGCAAGAGACCGUACCAGGGGAAGACGGGUGGCAGCAGCACGGUGGCUGGCAGCAGCAGGGAAGCAGGCAGCAGCGGGCAGCAGCCGGCGACCAACAGCACCACGGCACCCAGCAAGAGAGCGCGAAGCCCAGGGGCUGCAGGGGAGCAAGGAGCAGCGUCACCACCUCCCCGCAGAGCGCGGCUGCUGCCGGAGACUCCGAGUGGGGAGCCCCAUGCCGUACGGCCCCAGGACAGGCUCUGUCCCCAGGCCAUCGGGGCCAAGAUGCUGCAGCGCCAGCAGCCGGGGACAAAGACCCCCAGCGAGACUUUGCAGCCGCUGGGGGCCAGGGCCAAGGCGCUGGGGCCAGUGCACCAGCCGUCCUGUGUGCAGCCGCAGCCCAC
rnacentral:lncRNA from 1 species